UAGGGAAUCUUCGGCAAUGGACGAAAGCCUGACCGAGCAACGCCGCGGGCGUGAAGAAGGUUUUCGGAUCGUAAAACUCCGUUGUUAGAGAAGAACAAAAAUGUUAGUAACUGAACGUCCCCUGACGGUAUCUAACCAGAAAGCCACGGCUAACUACGUGCCAGCAGCCGCGUUGAUACGUAGGUGUCAAGCGUUGUCCGGAUUUAUGGGGCGUAAAGCGAGCGCAGGCGGGUUCUUAGGUCGGAUGGGAAAGCCCCGGGCUCAACCGGGGAGGGUCAUUGGAAACUGAGUGGCUUGAUUGCAGAAGAGAAGAGUGGAAUUCCAUGUGUGGCGGGGAAAUGGGUAGGUAUAUGGAGGAAAACAAGUGGCGAGGGGGGCUCUCUGGUCUGUAAUUAACGCUGAGGCUCGAAAGCGUGGGGAGCAACCAGG
rnacentral:rRNA from 1 species